rnacentral:rRNA from 1 species
UACGAAGGGGGCGAGCGUUAUUCGGAAUCACUGGGCGUAAAGCGUGCGUAGGCUGUUUUGUAAGUUGGAAGUGAAAGCCCAGGGCUCAACCUUGGAAUUGCUUUCAAAACUACAAGACUCGAAUUCGGGAGAGGAUAGCGGAAUUUCCAGUGUAGUAGUGAAAUACGUAGAUAUUGGAAGGAACACCAGUGGCGCAAGCGGCUAUCUGGACCGACAUUGACGCUGAGGCACGAAAGCGUGGGGAUCAAACAGG